AGUCGAGCGAGUCUGCCUUGAAGAUCGGAGUGCUUGCACUCUGUGAAACAAGAUACAGGCUAGCGGCGGACGGGUGAGUAACACGUGGGUAACCUGCCCAAGAGAUCGGGAUAACACCUGGAAACAGAUGCUAAUACCGGAUAACAACAGAUGAUGCCUAUCAACUGUUUAAAAGAUGGUUCUGCUAUCACUCUUGGAUGGACCUGCGGUGCAUUAGCUAGUUGGUAGGGUAACGGCCUACCAAGGCGAUGAUGCAUAGCCGAGUUGAGAGACUGAUCGGCCACAUUGGGACUGAGACACGGCCCAAACUCCUACGGGAGGCAGCAGUAGGGAAUCUUCCACAAUGGACGCAAGUCUGAUGGAGCAACGCCGCGUGAGUGAAGAAGGGUUUCGGCUCGUAAAGCUCUGUUGUUGGUGAAGAAGGACAGGGGUAGUAACUGACCUUUGUUUGACGGUAAUCAAUUAGAAAGUCACGGCUAACUACGUGCCAGCAGCCGCGGUAAUACGUAGGUGGCAAGCGUUGUCCGGAUUUAUUGGGCGUAAAGCGAGUGCAGGCGGCUCGAUAAGUCUGAUGUGAAAGCCUUCGGCUCAACCGGAGAAUUGCAUCAGAAACUGUCGAGCUUGUGUACAGAAGAGGAGAGUGGAACUCCAUGUGUAGCGGUGAAAUGCGUAGAUAUAUGGAAGAACACCGGUGGCGAAGGCGGCUCUCUGGUCUGUUACUGACGCUGAGGCUCGAAAGCAUGGGUAGCGAACAGGAUUAGAUACCCUGGUAGUCCAUGCCGUANACGAUGAGUGCUAAGUGUUGGGAGGUUUCCGCCUCUCAGUGCUGCAGCUAACGCAUUA
rnacentral:rRNA from 1 species